rnacentral:lncRNA from 1 species
GAUUGUGCCAUUGACUCCAGACUGGGCAACAAGAGCAAAACUCUGUCUCAAACAAACAAGCAAAAAACUGCAAUUACUAGGAAAGCCAAGUCUCUCUUCCUGGAUUUCUUCUCCUAUAAACCGCCUAUUGAUACCUACCCACUUCUCUAUGGAGCACAGAUGAAGGAUAUUGGUCAUCUCCAGCAUCUAGCACAACGUCUGCAAUGGAACAGGCGAGCUGUGAAUAUUUGUGGAAUGCAUGGGUGGACUAAAGACCUAUCACCUCACUCUAGAAUGCCCAGCAUGUUGGAGCAUGUUAAGCACUAUAUGAGCUGCUGAGGAUACAGGAAUAAACAACAACACAGGUGUGUCCUCUGCCCAAACCAGGCAUAAAUGAGCUUCCAAAUGAACACAAACAAAUCUGGAAGGCUUUUGAGGAAGAAGGACCAUUAAAAAAGCUGCUGACGACUGCCUGGAAUCUGGUUUGGAGCAUCUCCAAAGCCAACGUACUUUCCCCCAAGAAAAUACAGGAAGAUCUCUCUGCCCAGGCUUGGAAAUACAUAAGGAUCAGGUUUGCCAUCCUCUACUUUAGGGUGACUUUAACAUAAUUUAAUGCCCACUGACUGCUUUUCUCCUACAGGUAAAGUAACAAACAAAGGAGUCAACUCUCAGGAGCUCUCUCUUUCAUCUGCUUUAUGUUGCCAUUUUCCCUCAUUGCCCUCUCACAUUCACUCAGUAAUUCACCAAAUAUUUAUAGAGACUUCAUGGUGUGCAAGGCAGUGAACUCCACACUGUAGGAAGAGUAAAGCCAUGGAGAUCGCAGGCCUGGCUCUUCAUACCUUUGGCUUUCUGUUGAAUUGAACUUUCUGUUAAGUUUAAAAUACACAAUAGAACUUUGACGAUGUUGUGGCCUGGUCAGGGAUGGGACAGAUAACCAGCCCUUAAAAAUAAAGCUCCUCCGGCCCCGCCCAAUACCUUCUGAAAGAAGGAGGGUUAUUAUAGAGCAUAAAUAAAACAGUAGUGAUUAAUAAUGAUAAUAAAGUUUAUCUCUUUACUCACUCAACAGCAAUCCUUUUGGGGCAAAUCACUUAUGAUUUCCUUCCAGGACUGAAGAAAACAUGCACAGACGGAAG